AGACAGGAGUGCCUGGUGUGCUCUGGUCCGUGGGGUCACGAAGAAUCGGACACAACUAAAUGACUAAACAACGACAGCAACAACUUUUCUACUGAGCCCAUUUUUUACAAUUCCUCCCCACUACAGCACAGAAAAUAGUACCAGCCCUCUAGAGAAAAAAAGAGCCUCAAAACCAUGCAUCUUUGUACAGCAAGAACAAACAGCUAAGUAAUUAAUUAAGGAAUGCAUAGCGUACAAGCAUUUUUUUCAUUGGAGACUUGACAUGUUUUUUACAGGCCUCUGUCUAGUAAAGUAAAUGAUGCAAUGAUGGAAGAAACUCCAUGAGUUUGUGUUUGAUAAUGAUGCAGACUUCUUUUGCAUUUUGUUUGUUCAAGAGCAUCAGUUGGACUGUUUCAGUUUUGUCUCAAUACUAAAGCAACAAACAAAAGUUGCAAGGUAGGUUCUUUGAAUUCCUGUCUAUUUUUCUACUCUCAUCUCAAAAUCCAAUCUGUACAAAGAUUUAUUUCCUACAAGGUAUUUUACUUGAAAAUGACUUUUCCAUAUCCACACCUAAGAAUUUAGCUUUGAUAUCAAAGUCACCUACCUCUUCACCAGGUAUAAUUUCAAACAUCACAUUCUUAAACCUUACAAGAGAAAAACUUAUAUAAGAGUAUGUAUUUCGGUAAAGAAUUAUUGAAUUAAAAACUACAAACACAAAUGAAACCCCAAAAGCUGACAAAUCUUUAAUAAGAGACAAAAUCUAAAUAAGGUGUUAUAAGAUAGUUGGGUUAAAUAUUUAAUAGGUAAAGAGCAGAGCUAAUGCUCUGAUAAUACUGGGUGCAAAACCUAUUGGUUUGGCUAAACUCCAUCAAUUCCUAGUAUUACACCCUUUUCACUGCCAUAUACUUCAGUGAAAUGCUCUUAAGUUCGUUUUCCUUCCCCUUUGUUUUCCACUUAACUUUAUUAAUCUUUGUGAAUUUAUGUAAAAUGUAAAUGAUGUAAGCGCACAUUAACCCACACACAUUUUUCCCUUUGCUGAAUAAAGGCAGAUGUUUUUAGAACAAUUAA